rnacentral:tRNA from 1 species
UGACCUAUGGUGUAACGGUAGCACUUCGGUUUUUGGUACCGCCAGUCAAGGUUCGAAUCCUUGUAGGUCAA